rnacentral:lncRNA from 1 species
CCAUCCAAGAACUAUUCAGCUGCCCAUCCACGAACUAUUCAGCUGACCACCCACGAACUGUGAGAAUAGAGAGUAAAUGAAGCGAUAAUCGUGGAGAAUAAGAGUCUGGUCGAGUGAAACAAUAUAAAAGAUAAAAGAUAGUUAGUUUGGCUAAGGGAGUGUGGGCGAGAGAAUGAUUAGAUUAUGGAGAGUUUGUCUGAGUGUUGGAUAGUGUUCUUGAGAGAUUGAAGAGUGUAGAGACUAGAGUAACUAGAGAAUGGGCGAAAAAGAAAGUUAUUCUUGC